rnacentral:rRNA from 1 species
GAUGAACGCUAGCGAUAGGCUUAACACAUGCAAGUCGAGGGGUAACGUGUUGGAAGCUUGCUUCCGAUGACGACGACCGGCGGAUGGGUGCGUAACGCGUAUGCAACUUGCCUCACAGUGGAGAAUAACCCGGAGAAAUCCGGACUAAUACUCCAUACACUCUUAAGUACGCCUGUACAUGAGAGGAAAGAUUUAUCGCUGUGAGAUAGGCAUGCGUCCUAUUAGGUAGUUGGUGAGGUAACGGCUCACCAAGCCGACGAUAGGUAGGGGUGCUGAGAGGCAGAGCCCCCACAUGGGGACUGAGACACGGCCCAAACUACUACGGGAGGCAGCAGUGAGGAAUAUUGGUCAAUGGAGGAAACUAUGAACCAGCCAAGUCGCGUGAAGGAAGAAUGUCCUAAGGAUUGUAAACUUCUUUAGCGAGCGAGUAAGGACUUCCACGUGAUGGGAGUUUGAAAGUAGCUCGAGAAUAAGUAUCGGCUAACUCCGUG